rnacentral:rRNA from 1 species
ACUGCUCAGUAACACGUGGACAACCUACCCUUGGGUCUGGCAUAAUCCUGGGAAACUGGGGAUAAUUCCGGAUAGGUCACAGAUGCUGGAAUGCUCUGUGGCCGAAAGCUCCGGCGCCCAAGGAUGGGUCUGCGACCUAUCAGGGUUGUAGUGGGUGUAACGUACCUACUAGCCUACGACGGGUACGGGUUGUGAGAGCAAGAGCCCGGAGAUGGAUUCUGAGACACGAAUCCAGGCCCUACGGGGUGCAGCAGGCGCGAAAACUUUACAAUGCGGGAAACCGUGAUAAGGGAAUCUCGAGUGCCAGCAGCCGCGUAAUACGAUCCCCCCGUG